rnacentral:rRNA from 1 species
CGCCCAUCAGCUAGCCCAACCCCUAAAACCAAAAACAACCAACCAAUAUUCAUAACCCCAAAAGCACUAACCCUAAUACAAAACAAACCAUUUUUCCCCCUUAGUA